GCCUGGGUGGCUCAGUGGGCUGAGCAUCUGACUUCAGCUCAGGUCAUGAUCUCGCAGUUUGUGAGUUCGAGCCCCGCGUCGGGCU
rnacentral:tRNA from 1 species